AGUUUGACUGGGGCGGUCUCCUCCUAAAGAGUAACGGAGGAGCACGAAGGUUGGCUAAUCCUGGUCGGACAUCAGGAGGUUAGUGCAAUGGCAUAAGCCAGCUUGACUGCGAGCGUGACGGCGCGAGCAGGUGCGAAAGCAGGUCAUAGUGAUCCGGUGGUUCUGAAUGGAAGGGCCAUCGCUCAACGGAUAAAAGGUACUCCGGGGAUAACAGGCUGAUACCGCCCAAGAGUUCAUAUCGACGGCGGUGUUUGGCACCUCGAUGUCGGCUCAUCACAUCCUGGGGCUGAAGUAGGUCCCAAGGGUAUGGCUGUUCGCCAUUUAAAGUGGUACGCGAGCUGGGUUUAGAACGUCGUGAGACAGUUCGGUCCCUA
rnacentral:rRNA from 1 species